AUGCCACAAGCUCAGACCCUUUGGAGUUUACAAAGUGCUUUUUGUAUUCCCAGCUUGUCCACUCCCUGAAAUCCCAGUGCAGCUGGAGACUGCUGCCCUGGAGGAGCUCUGGAUGGGGUUAUCCCACAGUGGGAUGAGGAAUGCUGGCAGGGUGUCCAGACUGGCUGGUGGGCAGGGGCCCCAAGGCUGGUGUGGCAGGAAAAGGUGCUUCCCCCCUCCAGAUGCACCAGGAGAGGAAGCUCCAUAGGGCAGAUCCCUCUGCUCACCACUUCUGCUCCAGACCUGUGUCAUGUAUAGUUCCCUCUCAUGUUUUUUUUUUGCCCCUGUAAUCUCCUGCUCCAGACUAUGCAGGAAUGGGAUGGUGGUUGAGUCCUGUGCAGGAGCAGCUGGAGCUGGCUGCUGAAGGUGUGCAGUUUUGGGCCUGUUGCAGGAAGGGUUAGCCACUCAUUCACAUUGUGCUCGCGUUUGUGUUCCUCCUCUUUUCUCCCGGACUCACUUCCCUUUUCCUCACCCUCACUGGGGUUUUUUUUGUUUGUUUUUCUUUUCUUUAAGUGCCUUUUUGUGUGGGUGUAGCUGGCAAGAGUAGGAGUCUCAGUAUAUGGCCCUUUGCUCUCAGACCUGGAGAAAGCUCGGGGUCGCGGGGCGAGUUGCCCCGAUGGCCCACACACAUCACCCGUUGCCACUUCUCAGCCUUCAAGGGCAAGCGUGGAGGAGGAUGAGAUUUGACACUGGUGGUGUCAGGCUCUGGUUCAAAUCAGCCCAAAGAAAACCAAAGAGGUAGCUUUGUGUGAGGGGCUGCUUGGGCAGCGGUGGUGCUUCCUGUGAUCUCUGCAGAGCUCAGCCAACGGGCGUGAGGGGGCCAAUGGCAAAGAGCAGCCCUUUCCUCCUCACGAGCAUUCUGCAUAAGUAUCCUACAUGAUGGAGAGCACAGCCACAUUCUCCAGAACCCCUUGGAACAUGCAUCUUCCUUGUGCAGAAUUAUGUUCUCUAUAGAAAUCAUUCCCACCUGAAAGAUGUACCAUAUUUUAUACAAUAUCUAAUACACACAUCUGUGGUUUUCAAUCUAGUAUCUGUGUACCAGUUGUCAAGUUAUGCAGUGUCUGGAUUACCAAUAGAAAACUGGGGCUGGGGGUGGAAAAGGAUGCUGCAGAGUACCUCUUGUGAUGCUGACUUGAGGCUUCAUCCCAAAGGUGCCCACCCAGCACUGAGGGGUCCCUGUGUCCACUCUGUGUCCUGUCCCAGGACAAGAACCCUGGCUGUGGUGUGGUACAGCCCAGAUGUGCUGCCCAUCCCACCACCUGGCUCUACACUGGGGCUCUACACAGACCCAAAGAAGCACCUGUUCCCUGGAUACUGAGGGUUGGUUUGGCCCAGCAGUGAAGUGAUGAUCUUAACCAACACAACUGGGCAUCUUCCCAUGGCACGGAUGGGUGAGCAACCUUCAUCUGACUUAGCCAGCAGGGAGGACAGGCUCCGCACCACAGGCUGGGCUGGGCAGCCACCCUCAUCCCUGCAUUUGGUCCAUCAGCUGCAGGUCUCUUGUUGGUGUGAUGUCUGUGGUGAUUCUGGCCUCACUCCUAUGUGUGAGCAGCACAGGGGACCUGGACAUCCAUGGCUUCAUGCAGAGCCACUUCAACAAGCCAAGCUUAUGUCCUGGAGCCUCACUUCAUGUUGGGUUGUGUUCCUCUGGGGUCAGUCUCAGGGCUGCAUCCAGAUGAGGAGAUGUUGUUGCUGUGGGUGCAAGGUGGUACAGUGUUGCUUUUCCAUCUGGUGUGUGCAUAUUUUCCUGAGCUUCAAGGCUGGGAAGGGGUUGCUGGAAAGCUGCCUUCAGUCAGUGGCACGGUACAGGUGGCAGAGUUGUUUCAUAGGUUGGUAGCACUGAAUUCAGUCAAAGUGAUGUUUUGUUCUUGUUAUCCUGAGGUCAGACUCUAUAGCAGUUCUUCAUGUUGGAAAUACGGUACUCAAAGCUGCUGGUCUUCUGUCUCUAGCUGAAAAUUAUUAUUCUUCUCUCAGGUUUUGCCCUUGGGCUCUGUUUUCCUCUGAGCAGCACUGAUUACUAGGAUCCUGCAGCAGAUGGUGCCCUGGCUGCUUUUGCUCCUUCAGUGCAGAUUUCUGGCCAAGGAAGUGCUUGGUGUUUGAUCCUCCCCCAGGAGCAGAGGUUUGGCUGGACUUGGUAGAAUGGCCUGUCAUGGAACCAGACUAGAGGUUUGUCAGCUGUUGUGAGCCUGAAACAUGCAAAGGCUGCAGGUGGCUCCAAUGCUCCAGGAGUGGAUUUGAUUUCUUUGUUGUCUUCUCCUCCAAAAAGCAGCGUGGCAGUUGGUUGGUAGCAGGAUUUGUUGGGGAAGAAGGGCUUGUCCCAGCAUUCGAUGCUUGGUGUAGCAGUCUAGCAUCCCUUCUCAACUGUUUGCUGAUCACAGAGCUUUAUAAUAGAAGGUGGUGUUUUAUCCUCUGGGCAUCACUGUUGAACCAAAUGGUUCCAAAUACAAGCAAAAAACUAGUUGGUGUCAGAUGCCUUUUAGUUGGAAGUGCCAAUAUGGAAUGCAUGUCCCAGAGAUCACUGUGCGAGAGUGAGGGGUUCCUGAUGAGCUCCUCUUCCCAGAAGUGACAAAGUGGCCAGGCCUAGAUCAGCUCUAGAGUCAUUCCUGCUUUAGUCUCAGGUCCAGCUGGCUGGGCUGGCUGGGCUGGCGGGUGGUCACCCAGGGUACGCGCUCUGUCCGUCUGCAUUGUGCUGGCUUGGAUUCAGCAGUGGGGCUGCUGUGACAGCUGUGUUCACAUCAGCCACAGCUGCUCCUCUGCUUCACUUGCUGGGCUUUAGCUGAGUGUUCAGGAAGGUGAGAAGGAGGAGCAGCAGUCAGGAAUGGGCCAUGCUGCAGCCAUUCUGUCUUCAUUUCUUCAUUUCUCACACUGAGAGUAGGAGGUGCUGCUCAAGGGACUCUGCCUUCCUCGGAGAUCACAUGGAAUUUGGAGAGUUGAAUCCUACCAGGACCCCAGCAGCAGUGCUGUGGUCCCAUUUGAUCCACAUUCUCCUGAGCACAAGGGUGGCUUACCAGUAGUUCAGGGUCAGGCCCUGCUGAGGAACUUCAGAGCUCUUGGCGUGUUUUUUUCUCCAGCAUAGUCAGCCUUGACACCUGAAUCACUGGGCAGGUGCCUGGAUGCCAAACACAGUGACUCUGAAACCCCAAAUACUUGAGAUGUGUUCCUGGAAGCCAUGAGCAGCUGGUGCUCAGCAGCCAGAGGUCUCACACCACACCUUUCUCCUUUGUGGCUGCCCCAAGCCCUGUCCUGGCUGCUGCUGGCUUGUCCUUGGUCCCCCCAUUCCAGAGCAUGGUGGCUCUCCCUUUGCAGUGCAUUUUCAUGGCUGUCUGAUCCCACUCCAGCCAGCUCUUCCCUGUGUCUUAUUUGCCAUCAUAUGUGGUCUUUGCAAAUUGUAUCAUAUUGUACAUGACUUCGGGUUUCCAGAGUUGUAGUAUUCUGACUACAGUAUUUCUGUGUGUGUACAUAAACCUCAAUAAGCACAACUGAAAUCCUGAAUGAAGUGUAUACGUUUCAUAUACUGAUUGUCAUACAAAUUAAUUUUAUAAUUAUUCCAAUUUUGUUGUAGAUUUCCAAUCUUUCCUAUUUAUUUUGUACCAGAUUUAUUUGUAUAUUUUGUGAUUUUGUUUUAAAGCAUUUUGUUUAUUUCUGUUCUUUUUAGAUAAAUGAUGAUUUUUUUUUUUUCUGUUGAACAUUCCAGUUUAUGCAUUUUUCCCUCCUCUAUGCUUCCCCCUCAUUUCCAAGGGACAGAUUUUGGCAUGUGGGUGGUGGGGCUGAUGUUUGUGAUCCUGUGCCCAGAUCUCUCCUACUGGCACAUUUAACAGUCUUUAAUCUCCACUUCAGCUGCCAAGAGCCACAGAGAGGCCAGAUCUUGUUCCUUUAGAGGCAGGUGUUGCUCUUCGCUUUGGUGGGUCUGGGCCUGUAAAUCCUCACGCUGGGGAGGGCUGUGCUGGUGGCUUUGCUGAUCAGGGGCUGGCUGGGAAGCUGGUGGCAAUGGCAAGCAGCUGACUUUUUGAAGUUCCCUCAAGG
rnacentral:lncRNA from 1 species